ACUGGAGAAUCGAUGAUGAUGUUGUGUUCAACAUCAUCAAUAGAAAACCCACUGAACCCGCUGACCAACAUGAGAGGUUCAAAGGUCGAGUGUCCAGCAGGGAAGAGUGGAACAAAGAAGGAAACUUCUCCAUCUGGUUGAAGAAUCUAACCCAGCAGCAUCAUGGGACAUACAGAUGCAUUGAACCCCAAAGUCCAGUGGCGGC